rnacentral:rRNA from 1 species
AACGAACGCUGGCGGCAUGCCUAACACAUGCAAGUCGAGCGAGAUCUUCGGGUCUAGUGGCGCACGGGUGCGUAACGCGUGGGAACCUGCCCUUAGGUUCGGAAUAACUCCCCGAAAGGGGUGCUAAUACCGGAUAAUGUCUUCGGACCAAAGAUUUAUCGCCUUUGGAUGGGCCCGCGUUGGAUUAGCUAGUUGGUAGGGUAAAAGCCUACCAAGGCGACGAUCCAUAGCUGGUCUGAGAGGAUGAUCAGCCACACUGGGACUGAGACACGGCCCAGACUCCUACGGGAGGCAGCAGUGGGGAAUAUUGGACAAUGGGCGAAAGCCUGAUCCAGCAAUGCCGCGUGAGUGAUGAAGGCCUUAGGGUUGUAAAGCUCUUUUACCCGGGAUGAUAAUGACAGUACCGGGAGAAUAAGCUCCGGCUAACUCCGUG